UAUCACUUUAGGAGCAAUUCUGUGGCUUUGUGUGGUCUCUUGUUUCGUUUCAGAAAAGUGUGUGUUGCUUUCUGCUGCUCCGUGGCCUUUCCAGCUCACUGCAGGAGCAACAGCCCUGGUGUAAUUCCAGGAAGGAAGCAGAACUCCUGGAGUCAGCAUGGCAGGGUUUGUCACAGGCUCAAGUUUUACUCCCUACAUGGAGCAUUUCAUGUCGCCAUGCACAGAGCAUUCCCUUCUUCUCCCUAGAAAUGCUCUCUCCAGACUCAGCAGCAGCCCAGGAGCUGCUAACACUGAUGUGAGAAGGGCAGGCCUGCGUUUCGGUGUCUGUCCCCUCUCUCCAUGUUUCCCGGAUCCAUCUGCUCAGCACUUGCCGGGAAGGACAUGUCUUGCUGCUCAUUCAGUCAGGGGCAAUGGAGAGUCCCUUUCAGCUGCAGCAUCCUGUGGCCUUCAGACAACUGAAAUAUCAGUUAUGGAACAGCAACAGGCAGGAGUCAAAGUAUGUGGAGCUAUUUCUAUGGCUGAAGAGAAGGCAGCUGGUCAGCCACAAAUACCAUUCUUACAAGUGCAGUCCCAAUAGCCACAUUAUGAAUUAAAAGCAGAAGAAUGCAGCUAUCACAUGAGGAGCACUCAGCUGGUCCCCUGCUGAACCAGGAGCAGGAGCUGUGCACUCUGGGGAAGUUUGGAGAGGAACUGUUGGGCUUCUGGUCUGGUUGGACUUUCCGAGGCAGCCCAGGUGACACCGGUUUCAGCAGCUGUUGCCAAUGUUAGCACAGCACCUGGAGCCAACUUGGUUUGGCUUGAGUAAGGACUAAAUGAGGUAACAGAACUAAAUUAAGGACACUGGGUCCACUUCUUCUGCAGUUCAACACAGCUGCUGUGAUGAAUUCUGAAUUAGGGAUGGGACUGAAAUGAUUCUGGUCUUAACUUGCCCAGGCUUUCUACUGUUUUUAUAUUAUCUGGCUAGCUGUGACGUAACCUCUUUGGCUUCAGGGGAAUAAAACAGGGAACAGCUACACUGAAUGAGGGGUGAAAGAGACACAGCAGCUGGAAGUAAUGUGUGCAUUCCAGUAAAAUAUGGAAAGACAGUGGUCUUGGGCUGUACAGGGCAGACUGGUUGGUGGUGAAGCUGGACAUGGGCAGCGAUGGCUGAACAGCUCGAACACGGGAAAUUCUUUCAUCCACCCAGAGCACUGAGCCGGGGA